rnacentral:rRNA from 1 species
GCCGAUCGUAUGGUCUAGUACCGACGACAGAUCUUUCAAAUGUCUGCCCUAUCAACUAUUGAUGGUAGUAUCUAGGACUACCAUGGUUGCUACGGGUAACGGGGAAUCAGGGUUCGAUUCCGGAGAGGGAGCCUGAGAAACGGCUACCACAUCUAAGGAAGGCAGCAGGCGCGUAAAUUACCCACUCCCAGUUCGGGGAGGUAGUGACGAAAAAUAACAAUACAGGACUCAUAUCCGAGGCCCUGUAAUUGGAAUGAGUACACUUUAAAUCCUUUAACAAGGACCAAUUGGAGGGCAAGUCUGGUGCCAGCAGCCGCGGUAAUUCCAGCUCCAAUAGCGUAUAUUAAAGUUGUUGCGGUUAAAACGUUCGUAGUUGAAUUUGUGCUUCAUACGGGUAGUACAACUACAAUUGUGGAUUGUACAUUACCUUAUGUAUGCAAGCGUAUUAUCGGUGGAGUUCUUAUACAUUUAUGAUACUUAUGUACCAUUAUGUAUUCCUCCUAUUAAAACCUGCUUCAGUGCUCUUCAUCGAGUGCUGUUGUGGGMCGUUWCAAU